CGCGCUCUUGCUGGGACUGACAGCUGGACGCCAUGGCCGCGGAUCGGCGCUCCAAGGCGGACACCCUGGCCCUGAGGCAGCGGCUCCUCAGCUCUUCCUGCAGACUCUUUUUCCCAGAAGAUCCUGUUAAGAUUGUCCGUGGCCAAGGGCAGUACCUGUACGACGAACACGGGGCAGAAUACAUCGACUGUGUCAACAACGUAGCCCACGUCGGGCACUGCCACCCUGUCGUGGUCCAAGCCGCACAUGAACAGAACCAGGUGCUCAACACCAACAGCCGAUACCUGCAUGACAACAUUGUGGAUUAUGCACAGAGGCUGUCGGAGACCCUGCCUGAGAAACUCUGUGUGUUUUAUUUCCUGAAUUCUGGGUCAGAAGCCAAUGACCUGGCCCUGCGGCUGGCCCGCCAAUACACAGGACACCAGGAUGUGGUAGUAUUAGACCAUGCUUAUCACGGUCACCUGAGCUCCCUGAUCGACAUCAGCCCCUACAAGUUCCGGGACCUGGAUGGACAGAAGGAGUGGGUCCAUGUGGCACCUCUCCCAGACAUCUACCGGGGCUGCUACCGAGAGGACCACCCCAACCCAGCUGAGGCCUAUGCCAACGAGGUGAAACGUGUGGUCAGCAGUGCACAGGAGAAGGGCAGAAAGAUUGCGGCCUUCUUCGCUGAGUCUCUGCCCAGUGUGGGCGGGCAGAUUGUUCCCCCUGUGGGCUACUUCGCCCGUGUAGCAGAGCACAUCCACAGGGCUGGAGGGGUCUUCGUCGCAGAUGAGAUCCAGGUUGGCUUUGGCAGAGUAGGCAAGUACUUCUGGGCCUUUCAGCUGCAGGGGGACGACUUCAUCCCUGACAUUGUCACCAUGGGCAAGUCCAUUGGCAAUGGCCACCCAGUUGCCUGUGUGGCCACCACCCAAGCUGUGUCAAGGGCAUUUGAAGCCACGGGAGUCGAAUACUUCAACACGUUUGGUGGCAGCCCGGUAUCCUGUGCUGUGGGGCUGGCAGUCCUGGAUGUCUUGGAAAAGCAGCAACUCCAGGCUCAUGCUGCUUGUGUGGGCAGUUUCCUGAUGGAACUCCUCAGACAGCAAAAAGCCAAACAUCCCAUCAUCGGGGAUGUCAGGGGCUCUGGGCUCUUCAUUGGUGUGGAUCUCAUCAGACAUAAAGCCAUGAGGACACCAGCAACUGAAGAGGCUGAAUACCUGGUAUCAAGGCUAAAGGAAAACUACAUUUUGCUGAGCACUGAUGGUCCUGGGAGGAACGUCCUGAAGUUUAAACCCCCAAUGUGCUUCAGCCUGGACAAUGCCCGAUAUGUGGUGGCAAAGUUGGAUGCCAUUCUAACAGGUGAGCUUGGAGCCCGAACAACUGAUCAGGUACCUAGAAUCCAACCUGGAGUCAAGCAUGAGAGCCUAACAGCUGAACCAGGAGACCCAUUGGACAGUACAUGCCCAAGCAAAGGGUCCCUUCUUGAAGUCUGGGUGAGUAGGAACCAAGCCCCAAUACUGCAUGCCUUGACAAGCACCAGUGAAAAGACCUGAGACCAGUCAUCAAAACAUCAAUCUGAUACGGUGGCACAUACCUAUGAUUCCAACAUCUGGGAGACUAAGUAAUACUGCAAGUUGGAGGCAGUCUGGGCUACCUAGAGACCUGAUCUCAAAGAAUACAGUGGGAACCCAAACCUGGUUUUUGUGCUUAAGAAUACUGGAGGCAGGUGCUUCAUUCCAUGCUUGAAGCACUCCAAGCUGCUAAGUGGCUAAAGUGAGAUUUGCACUGAAAACUGACUGCAAUGAAAUUCUCCCCAUAUUUCUAAAUCACUUAGGAAGGUCAAGAUAAGCCCAUUGUCUCCCCCCUAAAUCUUACAGGGAAAAUCAACCAAACUAGACAUGAGUGUGCACUGGGAUAACGUGCAAAACUCAGACCACAAAUAGGCAGAAAUCAUUGUCUCAUGGUAGAGGUCAGAGCAACCAGCAAGCAAACCUUCUUUGUUCCUCUUAAGUCACCUCAUUGAUGACCACAGAUGCACUUAAGCAUGGGGCUCUGGCAGAAGCGUGUAUUUGUGCAGAGCCUGGAGGAGUGAAGGCUGGCUUGCCACAGAACUGGUUUAGGGAUCCUAGACAUGGCUGUGCUUCCAGAAAAUUGCCAGACCAUCUGUGUGUGUAAAGGGACACUGAAGGCAGGUGGGGUAACUUUACGGUCUCUUUCAGAUAUGGAAGAAAAGGUGAGAAGUUGUGAGACGCUGAAGCUCUAGCCCUAUGUCACAACUGAGUCAAGCAUUCUCUCCAGAAAAUACUCAUCCCACUCAAUACUCUAUUGAGACCCUGACCACCACCUUACAGAUAAAGAAAAGUCUUUCAGGCUCAAGGUGGGCUUUGCCUGAGGCCGCACUGCCACCUACCAAGCAUUGGUCUACUGUUGAGAUAGGCGACCUGUCUGCAGCCCAGCAGGGUCAGAUUUCCUUUCUGCCCAAAAACUUGGGAGGUGGGGGUGGGGCAGCUAACAAGCACUUCUGCUUAAAUUAGUAUAAAAUGUCUUUAAGGAAAAUAGCAAAAAGUAACACUUUACACAUUGUGUCCUCAUACAAGUAUGCUCUUAACUGCUAUUCCUACCACAUGAUACAUACGCCUUACGUUUUCUACCCUACUGAAUUAAAAAUACUGAAUACAACUAACUGAAUACACUUAUUUCCAAGACCCACCAGCAGCAGUCCCACAAAAACACUGCCUUAGAGGUUCUUCCUGCUACUACAUGUCAGGGCACAGAGAAAAAAAGGCCUUUCAACGUCACUGUUUAUUGGAGUAACAAAAGCCCCCACCCAACUGCCUGUUUUACAGAACAUUUCAAGAGCCUAAACCCUAAUCCAAGCUUUCUCAACUGCCAACCAAAUGGGACAGAGGCUUCCUGAAGCCCUGCCCUACCUGUUCCAUCUUAUCUGGCCACCAUUGCAGCUCAGGCACUGAAUGUACCACACCCAGCCACCACAGGCCACACCUUCAACUCUGCUAACUGCCAACCUGAAAGUACUUUAGGCUCCACCAGAAUUCAGGGUAGGAGGUAUACCUCAUUGCAUGCCAACUCCACAUUUGAAGGCAAAACUGGUCCUGAACUUAAACUGGCCAUGACUUGGGAACAUCUUUGCCUGGCAUAGUGUUGAAUAAAGCAGUGGUGGAAA